rnacentral:rRNA from 1 species
AUUGAACGCUGGCGGCAGGCCUAACACAUGCAAGUCGAGCGAGCGGCGGACGGGUGAGUAAUGUCUGGGAAACUGCCUGAUGGAGGGGGAUAACUACUGGAAACGGUAGCUACUACCGCAUACCAUCAGAUGUGCCCAGAUGGGAUUAGCUAGUAGGUGGGGUAACGGCUACCCUAGGCGACGAUCCCUAGCUGUUCUGCGAGGAUGACCAGCCACAGUGGAACUGGGACACGGUCGAGACGCCGCCGGGAGGCAGCAUGGGGGAAUAUGGCACAAGGGGCGGAAGCCUGAUGCAGCGAUGCCGCGUGUGUGAAGAAGGCCUUCGGGUUGUAAAGCACUUUCAGCGGGGAGGCGUUACCCGCAGAAGAAGCACAGGCUAACUCCGUGCCAGCGGCCGCGGUAAUAC